CCUGACGCAGCGACGCCGCGUGGAGGAUGACACAUUUCGGUGCGUAAACUCCUUUUAUAUGGGAAGAUAAUGACGGUACCAUAUGAAUAAGCACCGGCUAACUCCGUGCCAGCAGCCGCGGUAAUACGGAGGGUGCAAGCGUUGUUCGGAAUCACUGGGCGUAAAGGGCGCGCAGGCGGUAUGGUAAGUCAGAUGUGAAAGCCCACGGCUUAACCGUGGAAGGGCAUUUGAAACUGCCAGACUUGAGUACCAGAGGGGAAAGUGGAAUUCCCGGUGUAGAGGUGAAAUUCGUAGAGAUCGGGAGGAAUAUCAGUGGCGAAGGCGCCCAUCUGGACGGUAACUGACGCUGAGACGCGAAAGCGUGGGGAGCAAACAGGAUUAGAUACCCUGGUAGUCCACGCUGUAAACGAUGAGCACUGGGUGUAGCGGGUACUCAUUCCUGCUGUGCCGCAGCUAACGCGUUAAGUGCUCCGCCUGGGGAUUACGGUCGCAAGACUAAAACUCAAAGGAAUUGACGG
rnacentral:rRNA from 1 species